GAUGAACGCUGGCGGCGUGCCUAAUACAUGCAAGUCGAGCGAACGGACGAGAAGCUUGCUUCUCUGAUGUUAGCGGCGGACGGGUGAGUAACACGUGGAUAACCUACCUAUAAGACUGGGAUAACUUCGGGAAACCGGAGCUAAUACCGGAUGAUAUUUUGAACCGCAUGGUUCAAAAGUGAAAGACGGUCUUGCUGUCACUUAUAGAUGGAUCCGCGCUGCAUUAGCUAGUUGGUAAGGUAACGGCUUACCAAGGCAACGAUGCAUAGCCGACCUGAGAGGGUGAUCGGCAACACUGGAACUGAGACACGGUCCAGACUCCUACGGGAGGCAGCAGUAGGGAAUCUUCCGCAAUGGGCGAAAGCCUGACGGAGCAACGCCGCGUGAGUGAUGAAGGUCUUCGGAUCGUAAAACUCUGUUAUUAGGGAAGAACAUAUGUGUAAGUAACUGUGCACAUCUUGACGGUACCGAAUCAGAAAGCCACGGCUAACUACGU
rnacentral:rRNA from 1 species